CAGUCGCCACGGUAAUACGAAGGGUGCAAGCGUUAAUCGGAAUUACUGGGCGUAAAGCGUGCGUAGGCGGUGAGUUAAGUCUGCUGUGAAAUCCCCGGGCUCAACCUGGGAAUGGCAGUGGAUACUGGCUCGCUAGAGUGUGUCAGAGGAUGGUGGAAUUCCCGGUGUAGCGGUGAAAUGCGUAGAUAUGCAGAGGAACACCGAUGGCGAAGGCAGCCACCUGGGCUAACACUGACGCUGAUGUACGAAAGCGUGGGGAGCAAACAGGAUUAGAUACCCCCGUAGUCCCUGUCUCUUAUAA
rnacentral:rRNA from 1 species